AGUUUGAUCAUGGCUCAGAUUGAACGCUGGCGGGAUGCUUUACACAUGCAAGUCGAACGGCAGCACGGACUUCGGUCUGGUGGCGAGUGGCGAACGGGUGAGUAAUGUAUCGGAACGUGCCUAGUAGCGGGGGAUAACUACGCGAAAGCGUAGCUAAUACCGCAUACACCCUUCCGGGGGAAAGCGGGGGACCUUCGGGCCUCGCACUAUUAGAGCGGCCGAUAUCGGAUUGGCCUGGUUGGUGGGGUAACGGCUCACCGGGCGACGAUCUCAUAAUGGUUUGAAGGACCGUCGGCAGCCACUGGGACUGGGGCCUUGCGGCCUGAACUCUACGGGGAGGCAGCAGUGGGGAAUUUUGGACAAUGGAAACACGUUGACCAUCCCGCGUGGCGAUGAAGGACUUCCAGGUUGUAAAGCACUUUUGGCAGAAAAAGCGGCACGGAUAAUACCCCGUGCAACUGGCGUACUACGAUGGCUUCCAGCUAACUGCGUGCAGCAGCCGCGGUGGUAAUACGUAGGGUGCAAGCGUUAAUCUCAGAUUACUGGGCGUAAAGCGUGCGCAGGCGGUUCGGAAAGAAGAUGUGAAAUCCCAGAGCUUAACUUUGGAGCUGCAUUUUUAACUACCGAGCUAGAGUGUGUCAGAGAGGGAGGUGGAAUUCCGCGUGUAGCAGUGAAAUGCGUAGAUAUGCGGAGGAACACACCGAUGCGGCGGCAACCUCCUGGGAUAACACUGACGCUCAUGCACGAAAAGCAUUGGGAGCAAACAGGAUUAGAUACCCUGGUAGUCCACGCCUAAACGAUGUCAACUAGCUGUUGGGGCCUUCGGGCCUUGGUAGCGCAGCUAACGCGUGAAGUUGACCGCCUGGGGAGUACGGUCACAAGAUUAAAACUCAAAGGAAUUGACGGGGACCGCACAAGCGGUGGAUGAUGUGGAUUAAUUCGAUGCAACGCGAAAAGCCUUACCUACCCUUGACAUGUCUGGAAUCCCGAAGAUUUGGAAGUGCUCGCAAGAGAACCAGACUUCGGUGCUGCAUGGCUGUGUCGUCAGCUCGUGUCGUGAGAUGUUGGGUUAAGUCCCGCAACGAGCGCAACCCUUGUCAUUAGUUGCUACGAAAGGCACUCUAAUGAGACUGCCGGUGACAAACCGGAGGAAGGUGAGGAUGACAUCAGUCCUCAUGGCCCUUAUGGGUAGGGCUUCACACGUCAUACAAUGGUCGGGACAGAGAUUCGCCAACCGCGAGGGAGCCAAUCAAAGCCAGUCGCGGUCCGGAUCGCAGUCUGCAACUCGACUGCGUGAAGUCGGAAUCGCUUCAGUAAUCGCGGAUCAGCGUAAUAACGGUGAAUACGUUCGGGUCUUGUACACACCGCCCGUCACAUAUGCGGAGUGGGUUUUACCAGAAGUAGUUAGCCUAACCGUAAAGGAGGGCGAUUACCACGGUAGGAUUCAUGACUGGGGUGAAGUCGUAACAAGGUAA
rnacentral:rRNA from 1 species